AUCUGCAUGAAGAGGCGAUCCAAGGAAAAAGUCAUCACGAUGAAAGCGUCGAGAAGAACAGAGACAUACCACUGACUGAAAUCCCGGGAGGGACCACGCUUAUCUACAAACAGAUGUGAUUGUGUGGAUCUUACUUCUGACACCGAUUGUCAACAGACGCAACUGUGUACUCACUUGAUUCCAUACAACUAUAGUUCCAUGUUUGAUAACGUUCAGCUGCUCACAUUUCACGCAUUACACAGUUACAUGUGUUGUAUUUGGAAUUAGCCAUCUAACCCACUCAGCCAACGAGGCUUCCACAAUAAACAUUUGCCAGGGGGGUACACAAAGUAUGGGAUCUAGACUACCAAGUGUCCGGCUUUCAGUUUAGUGGAAGUCGCUGUGGCAGAGUGGGUCAGGUGCCUGACUUAGAGUGUUGGUGCGAAUCCCACUGACCACAUCUGACCACUUUCUAAAUGAUCUUGUGAAUUCACCCAUUACACAGUUGCAGACUCAGCUCAGAGAUGUGUUGUCUCUGAUGAUAACUGUUUCAUUGUAAUGAAUCCUGUCUAAAGAGUCUAUAUUAUUUUAUUUGAAUCAAAGGCGGUGGGGUAGCCUAGUGGUUAAAGCGUUGGCUCGUCACGCCGAAGACCCGGGUUCGAUUCCCCACAUGG